CAAAUCAGAUGUCAAGAAUUAUAUCGCACAACACGUCGCACGUUGCAUGUCACACACACAACACGUCGCACACAGCCUGUCGCAUGUUGUACGCAGCACGUCACAUGUUGCACACACAACACGUUGCGUCGCGAGUUGCACGUAAACAGCACGGCACACGUAUGUCGCACAUGCACAUGCACAACACGUCGCACGCGCACAACACGUUGCACAUGCACACAAUAUGACACACGACCCGGCACCCAGCACAACACACAAAAAUCACAGACGACACCGACACACCAGUCACACACUCAACACACAACAUGUCACAUACACCAAGACGUCUCACACCGACACACACGACACCUGACACACACGAGACACAUGACACCGACACACACGACGCACCCGACACCGACACACAUGACGCACCCGACGCACCCGACACCAACACAUGACGCACCCGACACCAGACAGCGACACACACACCACACAUGACACACACGACACCCACACAUGACACACACGACACGUCUCACAACACAUUACACGACACAACACUGACACACACACACAAACACGUCUCGCACGCACGCACAUCUCACGUCCGCCGACUCACACAUAACAUCUCACACGCUGACACUCACACUCCGACGCGUGCUGACACACGCAUGCCGACGCACGCCGAGGCACAGCGACACUCGCACGCCAACACUCACGCACGCCGAGGCACGCCGAGGCACAGCGACACUCACAUGCCGACACUCACGCACACCGUUGCACGCCGACACUCACGGACGCCGACAUUCAUGCACGCCAACACGCGCACGCUCGCCGACACUCACAUGCUCGCCGACACUCACGCACGCCGACGCUCGUGCGCGCCGACACACAACAUCUCUCGCGUGCGCCUACACACAACUUCUCUCACGCACGCCGACACGCGACAUCUCUCGCGCGCUGUCUCACACGUGCCGAUAGACACCGACACACACGCGACGUCUCUCUCACGCGCCCGCACACACGCAACACGCGACGUCUCUCUCACGCGCCCGCACACACAGACGACACCGACACACGACACCUCACAUGACAGACAAAACGGCAGACAACAUGACACAGAAAUCACACACGACAUCGACACACGACAGACAAAACGACAGACAACACCUCAAACAACACACAAAACAACAGACAACAUGACACAGAAAUGACACAUGACAUGACACACGACACCUCACACGACACACAAAAGGGCAGACAUGACACAGAAAUGACACAGGACACACGACACCUCACACCACACACAAAAGGGCAGAUGACAUGACACAGAAAUGACACAUGACACCGACACACACGCGACGACACACACACGAGACGACACACAACACCUCCCACGAUACACAAAACGGCAGACAUGACACAGCCAGCCCCAAACUGACUUCCCCUCCAGCCCCUCCUCCUCUAGGCUUUGUCCCUAUCCUGGGCCAGGAGGUCACCGGAUUCCUUUGUUCUCCAACCCUUUAGCUCUCAAGGGCCAGACCAUAGUUGCCAGGAAAGAAGGUGUCUGCCAUUCUCUGUGUCCAGACCCCUGCACACACCCGCCCUCUAGAGCUCUGCAGCGAUCAUACACCCUUCUCCCACCACCUACAUACUUAAGAACUGCAUAGGGGAAACUGAGGCACCCCCACACUAUUCAAAGGAAACAUGAAGAACAGUCCCACUUCAUCACAGAUGACUCCAGGAGCUGCUCUCGCAGAGGAAUUGUCCAGGAGCCCGAGCCAGAGGAGAAGUGGCCAAGGUGUACCUAAGCAGCUUGGACAUCCUUCUAAGUGGACAUGAAGAGUCGUCAGCUUUCUGUCUCCCGCAUAACUGGCUCUGAGUAAGCGUACAAACAGUUUACUCCCCUCAUUGGAUGGAAAGCGAGCGAGAGCAGUGAGCCCGCGAGCACUGUUGAUGCAAGCCAGGAGUCGUCCAGUUGGCAGUGGAGCAGUCGCUAAUGUCAGUGAGAUAAGUGUCUGGUUUGUUUAAGGCUUUGUUCACGGCCCGCCUGGCUCCAGGUAGGGACUCCCCAUUAGCUGGGGCUGGGUUUGUAAGAAAUGGUUCCUGACCAGCUGUGGUUACGAGAGAGACAAGGUCCCCGUUUUCAGGGGCUGCUCAUUUCUCUGGCCAGGAACGGUGUCUCCUUCGCAGGAGAAGGUUGCAUCUAGGAGGAGGACUCCAGCUGGUGAGUUGCUUGCCUUCCUCCCAUGUUCUUCUCUCUUCUCUUGUGUGUUGGCCAACUUUCUCAGUCUCUCUCUCCUCUGCUCUCCUGGUGCUGUCUCCCUUUGUAGGACAAAGGUAGGUGUGCAUUCCCCCAGGUGAGGUCUCGGGAGCCAUGGAGAAGUCGGAGCGGACGAAAAUCAUGCAGGGCAGUAGAAAGGUUGCUGAAAGUACCUGAAGAGACAAAGGAACUGAGAAGGGGGAAGUCCAGACUAAAACAGGAGUCUAGUCUGUAAAGGGAAACCACGGGAAGUCUAAGCUACAGAAACUCUUCAAGUUGCCGAAAGACAUUUAGGGUUAAUAAAAGCCAAGAAGGGGAAAAAAAAAUAAAACGGAGGACAAGCUAAUUCACAAAUGAACACCACGACCAACCCAUGGACUAAGCUUUCCAGCUACUGGGACCUUCACAGCCCACCAGGACUUUUUGUGUUCCUGUUUAUUGGACUUACAUUGGGGGUAGUGUUUUUUGUAUAGUAUAAAGGAGAAUGCUGACAUUGGUAUGGUUUGCCUGGGGGGUUCCUUUCCCUAUUCCCAAGUCCAGUACAAGGAUGGAAGGGCAAUAGCUUCUUAAAUUUAACCUGCGCUAUCAAACAGGGUGUAAAUUGAACGCAGUGUUGAAUUGGUAUUCAUACCCCCACAUAUUUAGGUCAGGGGGUCCCGUUGGUAGGAGUACCUAUCCCCCUUAAUCAAACACUCCAAACUAAGCUUUGGGCAAACACUACAUUUAACUGAAAUGUUACAAUCCAAAUAUGGUCUAUUAAUAUGGUGGCCCAGGGUAAUUAUGCUUUAUGUGUGUCACGACGUAAGGGCAUAAAAAAUACAGUUUUUGUAGGAAAUUUUGUGGGGUGCAAGGACACCACCCAAAUCAGCUCUGGUGCGGGCGGCCCCUCUACCUACUCCAGGACCCCGUGGCCAGUCCCCAAGGGGUCUGGCUGGUAUUCGUUAUGCAAUCACACAGCCUAUAAGGUUCUCCCAGCAGGAUGGUGUGGUACAUGUACCUUAGGGGCUACAGUACCUGCCGUGACAGUACACCAAAACCUGACCCAGGGAGAGAUCCGCAAUCUAGUAUGGAGGGACAGACAAAGUAUUCCUUUAAACCCCCUUUCUCAACGGCCCAAAGGCUUUCACUCCUUUGUGCGUUGGUUUCUGCCAUGGUUGGGAGUAAGCGAGCUAAAAAAAGCUAUAGUUAACAUUUCAGCUGCUUUGAAACUAAUGGCAAAUGCUACUGCAGUAGCUCUAUCUGCCCUUCAAAUUGAAGUCACCCAGCUAUCCCAAACGACAUUGCAAAACAGCCUAGCCCUGGAUUAUCUCCUUGCAAAUCAGGGCGGGGUUUGUGCUCUGGUCAAUUCAAGCUGUUGUGUAUUUGUAAAUCAGCACUAUAGGGUAAAAACUAACAUCCACAUCCUCAAGCAACAGGCAGCCCUAUUCCACCACAUCAGCCUUGACACUACCAGCGCCGGAUUCCAGGAGGUCUGGGACUGGCUCACCUCAUGGCUACCGGAUGUGGGGACUUGGGGACGGCGUAUUUUGUAUUUACUUUUUUUGACUGUUAUUGUUUUUGCGUUAUUUUUUGUAUGCCUACAAUGCUGCAGUAUGUGCUGUCGGCAGUUGCUAACCCUGCAGCGCGGUUACUCAGCCCCAAUAUAGCUUACUGACGUACAAAAAGAAAGGGAGGACUGUUAAGAAAAAGUUAGCACAUGUGACUCCAUUUUGGUUUGGGGCCCACCAUUGUUUAAAUGCCAGCACAUCAUACACCAGGAGGAGUGAUCCUUAGAUACUGAAUCCCUGUGAAAAUCCUCCUUCUUGUCUCCAGCCUGCCUUGACUCCCAGUAUCUGGUUUUUGUCAGUCUCUAACUCCCUGUCUCUUGGCCUUGAUGUGAGGCCUCCCAUCCUGAUAAUAAAUGUUACUGAUGCAUGGCUUUAGGACCAUGCUGUGUAAUUAACAUACUGGUAUAGCACGAGGAAUGCACCAAGCAGGGAUAGGUGGUAGAUAAGACAAGGAUUUGUUUAUUGGCUAAGGUUUCCGAUGCACGAGGGCAACAUGCUUUGCUAAAAAGUAUAUAACCUUUGUAUAAUCUGUAUUCAGGGUCCCCUCCUGGCUAGCAGGGGGGCACCACGCUCGAGCGUAAUAAACUUAGUGUCUUUUGGGAACUCUGCAG